rnacentral:rRNA from 1 species
ACGAACGCUGGCGGCGUGCUUAACACAUGCCAGUCGAACGGAAAGGCCCUGCUUGCAGGGUACUCGAGUGGCGAACGGGUGAGUAACACGUGGGUGAUCUGCCCUGCACUUCGGGAUAAGCCUGGGAAACUGGGUCUAAUACCGGAUAGGAGCCAUUUUUAGUGUGAUGGUUGGAAAGUUUUUUCGGUGUAGGAUGAGCUCGCGGCCUAUCAGCUUGUUGGUGGGGUAAUGGCCUACCAAGGCGGCGACGGGUAGCCGGCCUGAGAGGGUGGACGGCCACAUUGGGACUGAGGUACGGCCCAGACUCCUACGGGACGCAGCAGUGGGGAAUAUUGCACAAUGGGCGCACGCCUGAUGCAGCGACGCCGCGUGGGGGAUGACGGCCUUCGGGUUGUAAACUCCUUUCGCUAGGGACGAAGCUUUUUGUGACGGUACCUAGAGAAGAAGCACCGGCUAACUACGUG